CUACGUGCCAGCAGCCGCGGUAAUACGUAUGUCACAAGCGUUAUCCGGAUUUAUUGGGCGUAAAGCGCGUCUAGGUGGUUAUGUAAGUCUGAUGUGAAAAUGCAGGGCUCAACUCUGUAUUGCGUUGGAAACUGCAUGACUAGAGUACUGGAGAGGUAAGCGGAACUACAAGUGUAGAGGUGAAAUUCGUAGAUAUUUGUAGGAAUGCCGAUGGGGAAGCCAGCUUACUGGACAGAUACUGACGCUAAAGCGCGAAAGCGUGGGUAGCAAACAGGAUUAGAUACCCUGGUAGUCCACGCUGUAAACGAUGUCGAUUUGGGGGUUGAACUUUGUGUUUGGCGCCCGUAGCUAACGUGAUAAAUCGACCGCCUGGGGAGUACGGCCGCAAGGUUAAAACUCAAAUGAAUUGACGGGGGCCCGCACAAGCGGUGGAGCAUGUGGUUUAAUUCGAUGCAACGCGAAGAACCUUACCUACUCUUGACAUCC
rnacentral:rRNA from 1 species